rnacentral:misc_RNA from 1 species
UUUCAUUGAUGUAAAUGAUAUUAGAGAUAUUUAAUAUUAACUAAUUACUUAAUUGAUUAUUUUUUUUAAUACUAUUAGUAUUAAAAGUGUACCUUCUGCCUCAGCUCUGUCUAUGUACCUGUACCAUCUUUAUAUAAUAUUCGUAUUUGUUAAUCAUAAGGUGAACAUUUGGGUAAAGAUCAAUUUAUGAUGCAUGAUACAGGCAAACUUCGGAUCGAGGCAAG